rnacentral:lncRNA from 1 species
CUAUUGCAGGCAGCAAAGCAGCGUUGGAUCCCAGCCACAAUACUUCUGCAACCAGGUGUGAAUGAGCCUGAUGGGAUAUGAUUAUGGAACCUACACUGAAAAAGGGAGAGGGAUUAAAAUCUGUGUUCACAGGCUGAGAGCAGGUGUCUGCGAUGAGAUCCCAUGCUGUGACAUGCAUGCAGCACAUUCUUACAUGAAAAGCCCUGGCUGAUGAAGUGACCACAGGAAGACAACACGGAACCCUCCUGGCAGGAUCAGAAGAAGCUUAAUUAAGCUCUGUGGUUAAUGUUAAAGUGAGUGUGUGCCUGUUUCAGAUGAGC